ACAAGCGAAAAGCUUAAAACUCAAAGGACUUGACGGCGUUCCACACCGACCUAGAGGAGCCUGUCCUAUAAUCGACACCCCACGAUAAACCUUACCCCACCUUGAAACACCAGCCUAUAUACCGCCGUCGUCAGCCUGCCUAAUGAUAGCACUACAGCAGACAAAACAGCUAGUCUCCUACUAAAACGUCAGGUCAAGGUGUAGCUAAUGGUUGGGUUAGAGAUGGGCUACAUUCUCUAAAUACUAGAGCACCUACCGUAAGCAAUAUGAAACAUAAGCCAAAAGGCGGAUUUAACAGUAAGCACAGCAAGACAAGCCAUACUGAAGCCCCGCUCUGGAACGCGUACACACCGCCC
rnacentral:rRNA from 1 species